rnacentral:tRNA from 4 species
AUUCUUUUAGUAUUAACCAGUACAACUGACUUCCAAUCAGUUAGUUUCGGUGCAGCCCGAAAAAGAAUA